CUAACGCUGGCGGCGUGCCUAACACAUGCAAGUCGAACGAAGCAGCAAUGCUUAGUGGCAGACGGGUGAGUAACGCGUAGAUAAUGUGCCCUCUUGCGGGGGAUACCGUUUCGAAAGGACGUUAAUACCGCAUAAAGUCCUUAGGAGGCAUCUCCCUAGGACCAAACUUCCGGGGCGGGAGGAGCAAUCUGCGUACUAUCAGCUAGUUGGUGAGGUAAUGGCUCACCAAGGCUACGACGGUUAACUGGUCUGAGAGGAUGAUCAGUCACACUGGAACUGAGACACGGGUCCAGACUCCUACGGGAGGCAGCAGUGAGGAAUAUUGCGCAAUGGGCGAAAGCCUGACGCAGCGACGCCGCGUGGAGGAUGACGGAUUCGGUCUGUAAACUCCUGUCAGUAGGGAAGAGAAUGGACGGGUACCUACUGAGGAAGCUUCGGCU
rnacentral:rRNA from 1 species